rnacentral:rRNA from 1 species
UACGAGAGGCCCAAACGUUAUUCGGAUUUACUGGGCUUAAAGAGUUCGUAGGCGGUUCGGUAAGUGAGGUGUGAAAGCCCUCGGCUCAACCGAGGAAUUGCGCUUCAAACUGCCGGGCUCGAGGGAGAUAGAGGUGAGCGGAACUGAUGGUGGAGCGGUGAAAUGCGUAGAGAUCCGGAGGAACACCAGAGGCGAAGGCGGCCUACUGGGCUGCACCUGACGCUGAGCCGCGAAAGCCAGGGGAGCGAACGGG